AGCAUGGGCUUAAAAGGAAAGUCGGCCAUCGGCGACGGAGGAAAUAAAAGCAAAGCGACAGUGGAAAAAAAAGUGAGAAGCUGGAAAGGUACGCAUGAAAAGGGCAGAGAUUUUUACACUUUCGUACAUUCCCCCUCCACGGGCUGACCCACAGCAAGUGCUCCAGAAAGUUCUGCUGAACUCAAGGGACGCUUCUGCCAGCAACUUUCCCAGAAAUGGAAUGACAACAAGCUGGAUGAUGGCAGAAAACACGGCCAGGUUGCUCAUACUGCAAGAUCUGGUGAACACCCGGCAACUAGCUAGACAGAGAAGAUGGAAAUAACAGCAUUCAUGGUUUACAGGAUGCCCCAGUUAGGCACUGGGUCUCUUAACCCAAAACAAUGCCCGGGCGCUGGCAGUGGGCACGCCGGACACUUCUGUCUCUAAGGAAAUCAAGCAGGAUGGACCCCACAGCUCACCUGGGUAAAGGAGCAGAUACAGAGGGGCGAAGAUUCCCUAUACCAAAGCUGGGACCCUGGGCAGAAUUGCAUAGUCUCUUCAAAGCUUCCCAAGUGCUGGGAUGGCAGCCACCUGUCCUAGUUUUCACCAUGAGGAAAAGCAACAAAGUCCUCUCUAGAAAAUGAACAGAUGCUGGCACCAUGCUGUCGAGUUUCCUAGCCUGGCCCCUCUGCCAUGCCAUCCUGCCUUGAAGCCAGCCAACUAUGAACUGAAACCUCCAC